AGAUUAAACUGAAGAGUUUGAUCCUGGCUCAGAUUGAACGCUAGCGGGAUGCUUUACACAUGCAAGUCGAACGGCAGCAUGAGAGAGCUUGCUCUCUUGAUGGCGAGUGGCGGACGGGUGAGUAAUGUAUCGGAACGUGCCCGGUAGUGGGGGAUAACUACGCGAAAGCGUAGCUAAUACCGCAUAUUCUCUACGGAGGAAAGAGGGGGAUCGUAAGACCUCUUGCUGCCGGAGCGGCCGAUAUCAGAUUAGCUGGUUGGUGGGGUAACGGCCUACCAAGGCGGUGAUCUGUAGCUGGUUUGAGAGGACGACCAGCCACACUGGGACUGAGACACGGCCCAGACUCCUACGGGAGGCAGCAGUGGGGAAUUUUCGACAAUGGGGGGAACCCUGAUCGAGCCAUCUCGCGUGUGGGACGAAGGCCUUCGGGUUGUAAACCACUUUUCUCAACGAAGAAAAGUCUUAGGCUAAUACCUUAAGAUGCUGACGGUAGUUGAGGAAUAAGCACCGGCUAACUACGUGCCAGCAGCCGCGGUAAUACGUAGGGUGCGAGCGUUAAUCGGAAUUACUGGGCGUAAAGGGUGCGCAGGCGGCUUGGAAAGAACGGUGUGAAAUCCCGGGGCUCAACCUCGGAACUGCACUAUUAACUGCCAAGCUAGAGUAUGUCAGAGGGGGUGGAAUUCCGCGUGUAGCAGUGAAAUGCGUAGAUAUGCGGAGGAACACCGAUGGCGAAGGCAGCCCCCUGGGAUGGUACUGACGCUCAGGCACGAAAGCGUGGGUAGCGAACAGGAUUAGAUACCCUGGUAGUCCACGCCCUAAACGAUGUCAACUAGCUGUUGGGCCGGUUACGGCUUAGUAGCGCAGCUAACGCGUGAAGUUGACCGCCUGGGGACUACGGUCGCAAGACUAAAACUCAAAGGAAUUGACGGGGACCCGCACAAGCGGUGGAUGAUGUGGAUUAAUUCGAUGCAACGCGAAAAACCUUACCUACCCUUGACAUGCCCGGAAGCUUCAAGAGAUUGGAGUGUGCUCGCAAGAGAACCGGAGCACAGGUGCUGCAUGGCUGUCGUCAGCUCGUGUCGUGAGAUGUUGGGUUAAGUCCCGCAACGAGCGCAACCCUUGUCAUUAGUUGCUACGAAAGGGCACUCUAAUGAGACUGCCGGUGACAAACCGGAGGAAGGUGGGGAUGACGUCAAGUCCUCAUGGCCCUUAUGGGUAGGGCUUCACACGUCAUACAAUGGUCAGGACAGCGGGUUGCCAAGCCGCGAGGUGGAGCUAAUCUCUUAAACCUGAUCGUAGUCCGGAUUGCAGGCUGCAACUCGCCUGCAUGAAGUCGGAAUCGCUAGUAAUCGCAGAUCAGAAUGCUGCGGUGAAUACGUUCCCGGGUCUUGUACACACCGCCCGUCACACCAUGGGAGUGGGUUUUACCAGAAGUAGUUAGCCUAACCGCAAGGAGGGCGAUUACCACGGUAGGAUUCAUGACUGGGGUGAAGUCGUAACAAGGUAGCCGUACCGGAAGGUGCGGCUGGAUCACCUCCUUU
rnacentral:rRNA from 1 species